GGAGGUUGGUGGUGGACGAGCCACUCGCCAACCGGGUCAGGUCCGGAAGGAAGCAGCCCUAACGAGCGCGGCACGGGUCAUCGUGCCAGCCUCCCACC
rnacentral:SRP_RNA from 1 species